GAUGAACGCUAGCUACAGGCUUAACACAUGCAAGUCGAGGGGCAGCGGUAUCGAAAGCUUGCUUUCGGUAGCCGGCGACCGGCGCACGGGUGAGUAACGCGUAUCGAACCUGCCUCAUACUCGGGAAUAGCCUUGCGAAAGUAAGAUUAAUGCCCGGUGUUUUCAGAGUCCCGCAUGAGGCUUUGAACAAAGAUUUAUCGGUAUGAGAUGGCGAUGCGUCCCAUUAGCUUGUUGGCGGGGUAACGGCCCACCAAGGCAUCGAUGGGUAGGGGUUCUGAGAGGAAGGUCCCCCACAUUGGAACUGGGACACGGUCCAAACUCCGACGGGAGGCAGCAGUGAGGAAUAUUGGUCAAUGGGCGGAAGCCUGAACCAGCCAAGUAGCGUGCAGGAAGACGGCCCUCCGGGUUGUAAACUGCUUUUAGUUGGGAAUAAAACGGGGCUCGUGAGCCCCCUUGCAUGUACCAUCAGAAAAAGGACCGGCUAAUUCCGUGCCAGCCGCCGCGGUAA
rnacentral:rRNA from 1 species